UUUGGCUUGAGGUUGUGGUGCAAAGGACCCUAGGGAGAAAUUACUCUGAACCAUCACUUUAAGGCGCAGACAGUCCAA